CUAACUUUUCUUUUUUUUUUUUUUGUACUGGGUAUUGAACCACAUAGUCAAAUUCUCUUUUUAUUUUUUAUUUUGAGACAGGGACUAGUUGCUGUGGGCCUUUCUAAGUUGCUGAAGCUGGCCUCCAACUUGAAUUCCUCCUGCCUCGGCCUCCUGAGCCACUGGGAUUACAGCAGACUCUGGGAAAAUAUUUGAAGUCUCAACAGAAACCUCCAGCUUGUUUUUGAGUGAGAAACGUGUUGUUUUUGGAGUCAUGAACAGGAUGAAGAAACCUAGGACAAUUGCCAAGACCCUGUGUCCUUGUGCUGCUGAAUGAACAAGGGCUGGGACAUCAGGGAAGCUCAGGGCCACCAGUAGAUUGGGGAGGGGGGCGUGGAGAGCAGGGGGGACACAGUACUUCUGAAGAACUGCAUAAUAAAGUGAGUUAUUAAGAAACCAGUAA